GAAGUAAUCACUUUUAUUGGACUAAUUUCUGUUGGUGAGUGAGACAAGCUUUCAAGCAGCAUAGAGCUCUCUUUCAGGUCUGGGAAAGACUUUAUUCUUCUUUGAGUGCUCGUCCAUGUCCAUUCCAGUCUAGGUGUGUACUUGCCCUGAGAACUGCCGGUGGAAAGUUUAUUCCUCAUCUGUCUGGUUGGCUCUGGUGCCCCUUGGGGUUACACGCUUAUGGUGCCAGUAUAAAGGGCCUCACUGACCUGUUGCCCCCUCAGUUCCUUCUUACCAUCUUUAAUGGUCGCUGGAACUACUUCAUCCUUGUGUUUGCAAGAACUCCUCAGUGGACUUUGUUUCUAACUUCUUGUAUAUAGUUUCAGUUAUUAUAGUUGUUUGUUAGAACAGUUAUGUUAAGGAACCCCACAUUGCAGGGUUAGUCCCUGCCUGGCACUGGGGUAUGCCUCGUUCUCCGGGGUUUAAACCUUGUGGUUCUUGCCAUAAGCCUAUGCUGGUGAGGAACACCCGUUCCAGCUGCCUUAGUGCCUGGAGGAAGCUCACGUGUGGGAGCGCACGGACUUCAGGCCCUGCACCAAAAAAGACAGAGAUGUAAGAUUUAAGUUUUAUCCUCAUGGAGGCAGCUCUCCAUUCUCCCUCAGAGCUGAGUCACUUGGGCUUGGCACCGAGCACUUCAGCUUCUGUCAGGAGUGCCCUGGUGACUAUUAGGACUUAGCACCAAUCUCCAUUUCCAGCACCGUUAAGGGAUGUUGUUUCUACCUCUUGGGAGCCUCGGCAUUGUCCAUCAUCUCCAGGGCUGAAGAAAACCGCUCCAGCCAAGGACUCUUGACACCACUCUCUGUCACCAGUGCUGAAAAAGAAGCAGUGGAAGGUGGUCAAUCCCCGUCCCUGAGGUCUCAGAGACUCUAGUAGAGUGCAGUCCACACCAGGCCACUCUGAGACCUCUACAGUCCGCUUGGUACUAUUGACUCCAGCCCCAGAAUCGGCACCAUCGAGUCUGGCAACAAUGGACUCCCUGGGAAGACACCGGAUGCCUACUGCCCUGGCAAUACCUUCAACGUUUCUGGCUGAGAGAGACUUGCUCUCUUUUCUGGUACUGCUGUCCCUGCCAGUACAGGAGAAGUCAACGGCAGUACCAACGGAAAGAUCUGCCACAGCACCAAGACUCCAGGUCCUUCAAAAGGGAAACUGGCCAUGAUGGGUCAGCACCGAUCUCCUCCCUCCUGGCACUGUUCAUCAACACUGAUGGCAACGGUCAGCACCGCUCCACCUUGGUCUCCAGGAAGGGAUUCCUCUGGGACAGACUCAGAGGCAGAGUCAUAUGUCUCCUGCAGGAGUUGGCACCAACACUUCAGCCGGCAAUACCUGACAGUGGACCCAGGCCAGGGCUUCCCAUUUCUGGUGUGUCCAUCAGCACUGUGGCCCUCUGGAAUCCCUGGGUGUUCCCCCCAACACAGGGCUGACCCAGUGGAUACCACAGAGGGAAAAACUUUCUGGCGGCGGUGCUUGGAGUGAGCACACACCUACAUUAGAACGGACAUGAGCAACACAUCUCAAAGGACACCAGUUAUGGAAGAUUAUGAAGUCUUCAAAUCAAGGAGCAUCUUUCUUCAGUGUCAAGAAAGUGCUUAGCACAUAAUGACCUCUACUUGAUAUAAAUAAUUAGAAUAUAAAUUGAGAGCAGAAGUGUCUGGGUUGUAGGAAUCAUUUCAAACUCUUCCCUUCACUUUAGAAGAGACUGAAGAAGGGGUUCCCAAGAGCUAUCUCCAAGAGCCCUACAUAUCACAUCACUGAUGUUCUUUUAUUUGGAGUAAGGCACCUAAAUAUGGUUUUGUAUCUCUUCUAAAACAAGUUUAAACCCCUUCGCGCCCCCCCCCCCCCCAAAAAAAACAAAAAAAACAAAAAAAAAACAAAAACCAACCAACCAACCAACCAACCAACCUUCAUAUGGUAUUAAGUUUGUUGUUGAAUAUUUCUGUUGUAUAAGUAGGAAAGAUUAAUCUGGGAUGUGUAACAAAGUAGCAGAAGCAGAGAAUAUUUGAAAUUCAGACUACAACUGCAGUCUAAUUGGAAUUACAUAGAAAACAUUUAUUUCAUGCUUCUAAAUGAGGAUUUAAUUAAAAUAAAGUUAGCUCAUCUUUUUAGAUUUAUCUCUGAAUGGGAAAUCUGAAACAUACUUCAGUUGAUGGUUGGCUUUCUCUGACUUUGAUUAAUCACUUUCAAAGUAAGCAGAAGAUCGGUGCAGUAAUUUCAUAAUUACACACAAGUGAGUUAACUUGAAACUUUAACUACAAUAACUAACUGUAAAGGACGUUUGAUGUUGGUUAGCUUCAUGUAAUGCUAUAUAUUUAUAAUUUGAAUACUUACAAGUGCUAAUGUGAAAUAAACCUGUACUAUGAUACUAUUCAUUUAUUUGCAAGAUGUUUUAAUAGGGAAAUGUUUGAGUUGGGAAUAUUAUUUUCAAAGAUAUAUGAAGAGUAAUGCUUAGGCCCAAUUCAACCCAAACUGAAGUCAAUAGAAGUGUUUCCAGUGACUUAAUAGAGGUUGGAUCAGGCCCUACAUUUUUAAGUGUUGUUGAAGACAAUUUGAUGAAAUUGUCAUUGUGGUUAAAGACUGGAAAAUUUUCAACAUACCUAGCUCAGCAUGCAUUGUUAUUCCAUCCUGAUGUGUUAGCUCCCUUUUCCCUUUUAAAUACAAAGCUUUGAACUAACUGAAAUAAUUUAAACUGCUGUAUAGUCUGAUUAUUUGUGAUGUAAGUAAAAUAGCCAUGUAGACCAAAGUGCAAGGCAAAACUUUUCUGCAACUUGAAUAUCUUAAAAAGGUCAUACUUCAAGUAAGUUAACCAUGGGUAAAUCAUUGAAUUCCAUUUAAAUUUGAAUUUAUGUGAAUAUUGCAAAAGAUUGAUUUUAUUCUCUGCUAAUGUAACAGAAAUCCUUAUUUGAAGCCAACCAUUUAAUCACCUGUGCACAUCAUCAUAUGGCAAAUUGACACAAUUUAUGUUAACUUGAACUAUGGGCUUGAUAAAAUAUUCAGCAAGGUGUUUAUAUACAGUCUUACAGAGAGCUCUUUUAACUAAAAAUUCCACAUUAUCCCACAGGAUAUUGUAAACUUCACCACAGAGUUCGACACUUUAAGAUAACAGCAAUGUAUAUUUACUACAGAUACUUCUAUUUCUUUUUAUUAUGAUCUCUUAGUUUCCAAGAUUAAUGCAAAGUAUGCAAGGUCAACUUUUAUUCAGGGGCACUGACAAUCAGCUUUAUUGAAGAAGGAAUUUAUGUUCUGCUUUUUAAUUGAAGUGUGACCUUUCAAGAUAUUUUUAUGACUAGAGUCUUGCUGAAGCCCAGGAAAGUUCAGUAAAUGAUUGAAGUGUCUCUUGACAGUCUGAUUCAAUGUUUCUUCUUCCAAAUAAAGUAUAUCUUGAAUUUUUAAACUUUUUUUUGCCAGUUUAGCUGACUGACUUGGGUAAGUACUGUAAAGACACAUGGCUAGUGUGUGGCCACAUUAUUUUUUACUUGGAUUUUAUUUGGAUUUUGGUUAGAGGAACAUUAUUCAAUUUUUAUCAUAUGGGAGAAAACCACACUCAGACUUAGGAGAAAAAUGUUAAGCUUCCAUUCUGCUACUCUCUGUAAGAACCUUUUAUAUGUUUUCAGUUUAUACAGAUUGUUUACUUUGUAGAAACGGUAAAAAUUAUAUAGAUUAGAAGGAAGGUAAAAUUUGGGUUUGAGGAAUCUAUUAAAGUCUGUGUACACCCUCUUUUCUUUCUUGGUAUUAUAUUGCCUCUUAAUUUACACCAAGUCAUUUUUAAAGAGGAUUAUACAUAUUUAAUGUAAGAAAUGUAUUUAAAAGAAAGGGUUGCCAAUCAGUCUAAAUUUGUUACAGUUAAAAUUUGAUGGUCUAAAGACAACUUAUAAUUCUUUUCUUGUUAUAAAGUGUUGUCAAAUGUGUAGUAGUUUCAGUUAAAAAGUUUAUGGAAACUUUGUUUUAAGGUGGUUUAAAAUAGAACUAAAUCUUUAAUUUGAAUUUGAUGGCACCUGUUUUCAUUUUGUUUCCCUGGCAACACCACUGGUACCAAAAAUUGCCUGUAGACCACCCUAGAGAAGAACUAAAUCAUUCUGUUUUUUUCAUUUUAGCCUUUUACUUUACUGACUAAAUAUUUAAACAGAGCCAUAACACAUCUGUCAAAGUUUGUGAACUAGCUUUAGAAUAAAUGAGUUUGGGGUGCACAAUUCCCAAAUUUUCCCAGAUUAAUUUUUGUUGUUUAGUUAUUUUAAAAUUUUAUUAAGAAUAACAUAGAAAAAUUACUUGUGUAUUACAUGAGAUGAAAUAAAAAGCAGUGUUUGAAACAAAUAGUUCACCUUUUGUCAAGCAGAGCUAAGUUUGUAUUUUUAGUCAAUAUGAUCUGUUUUUAAAGUUGUACGAAUAUAAGGUUGGUUCCAGAUGUGAAUAAGUUUUCAUUAUUGAGGUUCCCAUGGGAAAGAAAUAAAGCCAACACAAAUGUUACCUCCAGA